UACCGGCAGCUCAAGUGAUGACCAAUUUUAUUGGGCCUAAAGCGUCCGUAGCCGGCCAGACAGGUCCGUCGGGAAAUCUGCUCGCUCAACGAGCAGGCGUCCGGCGGAAACCCGCUGGCUUGGGGCCGGAAGAUCCAAGGGGUACGUCUGGGGUAGGAGUGAAAUCCUGUAAUCCUAGACGGACCACCGAUCGCGAAAGCACCUUGGAAGGACGGACCCGACGGUGAGGGACGAAAGCUAGGGUCACGAACCGGAUUAGAUACCCGGGUAGUCCUAGCUGUAAACGAUGCUCGCUAGGUGUGGCACAGGCUACGAGCCUGUGCUGUGCCACAGUGAAGACGCAAGCGAGCCGCCUGGGAAGUACGUCCGCAAGGAUGAAACUUAAAGGAAUUGGCGGGGGAGCACUACAACCGGAGGAGCCUGCGGUUU
rnacentral:rRNA from 1 species